rnacentral:rRNA from 1 species
AGUCGAGCGGUAGCACAGAGAGCUUGCUCUCGGGUGACGAGCGGCGGACGGGUGAGUAAUGUCUGGGAAACUGCCUGAUGGAGGGGGAUAACUACUGGAAACGGUAGCUAAUACCGCAUAACGUCGCAAGACCAAAGUGGGGGACCUUCGGGCCUCAUGCCAUCAGAUGUGCCCAGAUGGGAUUAGCUAGUAGGUGGGGUAACGGCUCACCUAGGCGACGAUCCCUAGCUGGUCUGAGAGGAUGACCAGCCACACUGGAACUGAGACACGGUCCAGACUCCUACGGGAGGCAGCAGUGGGGAAUAUUGCACAAUGGGCGCAAGCCUGAUGCAGCCAUGCCGCGUGUAUGAAGAAGGCCUUCGGGUUGUAAAGUACUUUCAGCGGGGAGGAAGGCGAUAAGGUUAAUAACCUUGUCGAUUGACGUUACCCGCAGAAGAAGCACCGGCUAACUCCGUGCCAGCAGCCGCGGUAA